rnacentral:rRNA from 1 species
GGGGAAUCUUGCGCAAUGGGCGAAAGCCUGACGCAGCAACGCCGCGUGGGGGAUGACGGCCUUCGGGUUGUAAACCUCUUUCGACAUCGACGAAGCCUUCGGGUGACGGUAGAUGCAGAAGAAGCACCGGCUAACUACGUGCCAGCAGCCGCGGUAAUACGUAGGGUGCGAGCGUUGUCCGGAAUUAUUGGGCGUAAAGAGCUCGUAGGCGGUUUGUCGCGUCGGCCGUGAAAACCUGCCGCUUAACGGUGGGCGUGCGGUCGAUACGGGCAGACUUGAGUUCGGUAGGGGAGACUGGAAUUCCUGGUGUAGCGGUGAAAUGCGCAGAUAUCAGGAGGAACACCGGUGGCGAAGGCGGGUCUCUGGGCCGAUACUGACGCUGAGGAGCGAAAGCGUGGGGAGCGAAC